UGCCCUAUGGGUUGUAAACUGCUUUUAUAUAGGAAGAAACCUUGGUACGUGUACCAAGCCGACGGUACUAUAAGAAUAAGGAUCGGCUAACUCCGUGCCAGCAGCCGCGGUAAUACGGAGGAUCCAAGCGUUAUCCGGAAUCAUUGGGCUUAAAGGGUCCGUAGGUGGAUAAUUAAGUCAGAGGUGAAAUCUUGCAGCUCAACUGUAAAAUUGCCUUUGAUACUGGUUAUCUUGAGUUAUUAUGAAGUAGUUAGAAUAUGUAGUGUAGCGGUGAAAUGCAUAGAUAUUACAUAGAAUACCAAUUGCGAAGGCAGAUUACUAAUAAUCAACUGACACUGAUGGACGAAAGCGUGGGUAGCGAACAGGAUUAGAUACCCUGGUAGUCCACGCCGUAAACGAUGGUUACUAGCUGUUUGGACCUUGUGUCUGAGUGGCUAAGCGAAAGUGAUAAGUAACCCACCUGGGGAGUACGUUCGCAAGAAUGAAACUCAAAGGAAUUGACGGGGGCCCGCACAAGCGGUGGAGCAUGUGGUUUAAUUCGAUGAUACGCGAGGAACCUUACCAGGGCUUAAAUGUAAGUUGCAUUAGUUAGAGAUAGCUAUUUCUUCGGACCACUUACAAGGUGCUGCAUGGUUGUCGUCAGCUCGUGCCGUGAGGUGUCAGGUUAAGUCCUAUAACGAGCGCAACCCCUGUUGUUAGUUGCCAGCGAGUCAUGUCGGGAACUCUAACAAGACUGCCAGUGCAAACUGUGAGGAAGGUGGGGAUGACGUCAAAUCAUCACGGCCCUUACGUCCUGGGCUACACACGUGCUACAGUGGUCGGUACAGAGAGCAGCCACUACGCGAGUAGGAGCGAAUCUUAAAAGCCGAUCACAGUUCGGAUCGGAGUCUGCAACUCGACUCCGUGAAGCUGGAAUCGCUAGUAAUCGGAUAUCAGCCAUGAUCCGGUGAAUACGUUCCCGGGCCUUGUACACACCGCCCGUCAAGCCAUGGAAGUUGGGAGUGCCUGAAGUCCGUUACCGUAAGGAGCGGCCUAGGGUAAAAUCGAUAACUAGGGCUAAGUCGUAACAAGGUAGCCGUACCGGAAGGUGCGGCUGGAACACCUCCUUUCC
rnacentral:rRNA from 1 species